rfam:Schistosoma rodhaini strain Burundi genome assembly, scaffold: SROB_scaffold0002356
ACCUAGCUGACGAGUCCUAAUUGGGACGAAACGUGCGUCCAGAAU